rnacentral:rRNA from 1 species
UACGAAGGGGGCUAGCGUUGUUCGGAAUUACUGGGCGUAAAGCGUGCGCAGGCGGUCUGCUAAGAGAGGUGUGAAAUCCCCGGGCUUAACCUGGGAACCGCAUUUGUGACUGCAUAGCUGGAGUACGGCAGAGGGGGAUGGAAUUCCGCGUGUAGCAGUGAAAUGCGUAGAUAUGCGGAGGAACACCGAUGGCGAAGGCAGUCCCCUGGGCCUGUACUGACGCUCAUGCACGAAAGCGUGGGGAGCAAACAGG